rnacentral:rRNA from 1 species
CCAGACUCCUACGGGAGGCAGCAGUGGGGAAUAUUGGACAAUGGACCAAGAGUCUGAUCCAGCAAUUCUGUGUGCACGAUGAAGUUUUUCGGAAUGUAAAGUGCUUUCAGUUGGGAAGAAAAAAAUGACGGUACCAACAGAAGAAGUGACGGCUAAAUACGUGCCAGCAGCCGCGGUAAUACGUAUGUCACGAGCGUUAUCCGGAUUUAUUGGGCGUAAAGCGCGUCUAGGUGGUUAUGUAAGUCUGAUGUGAAAAUGCAGGGCUCAACUCUGUAUUGCGUUGGAAACUGUAUAACUAGAGUACUGGAGAGGUAAGCGGAACUACAAGUGUAGAGGUGAAAUUCGUAGAUAUUUGUAGGAAUGCCGAUGGGGAAGCCAGCUUACUGGACAGAUACUGACGCUGAAGCGCGAAAGCGUGGGUAGCAAACAGGAUUAGAUACCCUGGUAGUCCACGCCGUAAACGAUGAUUACUAGGUGUUGGGGGUCGAACCUCAGCGCCCAAGCAAACGCGAUAAGUAAUCCGCCUGGGGAGUACGUACGCAAGUAUGAAACUCAAAGGAAUUGACGGGGGCCCGCACAAG